rnacentral:antisense_RNA from 1 species
UCGCACAUUUUGUCGUGGGAGUCAUUGAUUUUUGUCGAAAUCAUUUGAUCAUAUGACAAGAAAGUGUAUCCA